rnacentral:lncRNA from 10 species
CACAGGGAAGGAUCCCUGAGCUCCACCUGGGGUGUGGGUAGGGUGAGGGAGCCCCUCCCUCCAGGGGGAAGGGAGGAAAUUCCACCACAGGGAUGCAGGAGCCAGAGAACAGCAAGCCCACUCCUGGUACAGUGGGAACUCAGGGGUGGAGAGGAGGGACGGCAGUGGGGCCGGUGCUGCCUCUCUGCUGGCUGGGACGCCCCAUGCCCAGCAGUCGGUCCCACGGAUACGCCACCUUCCGCGGCACACUGCUUCAAGACUCUGGAUCAUUGCUUGUCUUCCUGCGGACGACAGGAAGAAAGAUGAAGGCAUGAGAGAGAUGGCACUUUAUAAAGGGUCAGAGAAGGGCCUCUCUGAUGAGGCAACAUUGGAGCAGAGACUCAGGACCUGAGGCACGUGGAUAACGGGGCUCCCAGCUAUGAAGGGGCCAGCUCGCGGCCACACAAGGAUGACCUCCUUGCCCACCCAGGCUCUGCCUUGACCAAUCCAGAAGCCAUGCGGCCUCUGUGCGACUCCCUGCUCUUCUCCCAGGCCGGGGGCUGGGGCAUGGGCUCGGGCCAGGGGCCGCUGUUUCUUGGAGUCUCCAACCAGAACUGAGCUCUUCAGGGGACCUGGAUGACGCACUGUUUGGGUGGUUGUGUUUGGGGUGUGAUGCGGCCACCCUGGAAAGCCCCAGCCUGUCAGCUCUGAUCCGCGUCCCUGGGGUUCACCUCCCACCUCCGUGUCAGAACCUCUUCCUGCCCUUUCCUGUGGACUGGGGGGGAUCUGAGUGCCUCCCUCCAUGUUUCAUGAACCGAAACUGAAGCUGGAGAAGAUAGGGCUUAUCUGGGGUCAAAAGGAGCCCAGGUCCCCAGCUUUUGUGGGGAAACUUGUUCUGGGGGCUGAGUCAGCCUGGCCAGGUUAUAUGGGCGUCGGGGAUGAAGUGCAGGAGAGGAGUUUGGGGUCAUCCCAUGAGUGAUCAGAGGCCCCUGGGGGCUUGGGUGGGAGCAUCAGAGAGUGGGAGGUGCCAGAGCCGUUCUCUGCCUUCAGAAGGAAGAUGAGUGAGAAGGUGCAAGGGGAAGAGGAGACUGAACAGAGAAAGAAAUUCAAGAGGAGAGCUCUGGAGAGAGAGAGUAGGUAAUAAGAGCAGCUCCCAGGCACCCCUAUGUAUUUACCAAGCUUUACAGAGCACCAGCCAUCACUGGUCCAGUCCAUCCUCACAGCUGCUCUGUGGGACAGCUCAUGGGCAGUACCCAACUGCAUCGUGGAUUGAAUCAGGCCCUGGGCUCUGAACCAACGCAAACUCUUCCAGUGACUGCCAAUGAGGUGGCAAGGGAGCCCACGUGACCCUGAGGGCCUAGCACGCUCUUCAUUGCCCAGGGAAGCCAGCCCCAGCCUGCAGGGCCACCUCCAGAUGAGACACCGCUGGAGACGAUGGGUGGCAUUCUCAGGGCCUCUUUGUGGAGAAAAAUAGGAAACUAUGAUUAUAAAAUUAGGCAUAAAAGUGAAUAUUAAGAGUAAAUAGGGCCAGGCACGGAGGCUCACGCCUGUAAUCCCAGCACUUUGGGAGGCCGAGACGGGCAGAUCACCCGAGGUUGGGAGUAUGAGACCAGACUGGACAACAUGGCGAAACCCUCUCUCUACUAAAAAUACAAAAAUUAGCCGGGUGCGGUGGCAGGCGCCUGUAAUCCCAGCUACUCAGGAGGCAGGAGAAUCACUUGAACCCAGGAGGCAGAGGUUGCAGUGAGCCAAGAUCGUACCACUGCACUCUAGCCUGGGUGACAGAGUGAGACUCCAUCUCAAAAAAAAAGAAAAAAAAGAGAAAAGUUAAUUGGCCACGCACAGUGGCUCACAACUGUAAUCCCAGCACUUUGGGAAUCUGAGGUGGGAGGAUCACUUGAGCCCAGGAGCUCAAGACCAGCCUGGGCCACAGUAUGAGACCCUAUCUCUAGUUUUAAAAAAGUAAAUAAAUCACAACUGCAAAAAAUGUAAAAAGCCAAUAAGCAGCAUAAGCAUAAUAAGAUCCAAUAAAUUAACAUAAUAUUUCUCUUAGAGAACUGCCUGAUGCACCCCUGAAGUACGUUGCGUUUGUGUUUUUUGAGACAGAGUCUCGGUCUGUCACCAGGCUGGAGUACAGUGGUGUCAUCUCGGCUCACUGCAACCUCCGCCUCCCAGGUUCAAGCAAUUCUCCUGCCUCAGCCUCCCAAGUACGUAGCCGCCACCACGCCCAGCUAAUUUUUGUAUUUUUAGUAGAGACGGGAUUUCACCGUGUUGGCCGGGCUGGUCUCGAACUCCUGACCUCAGGCGAUCCACCCACCUCGGCCUCCCAAAGUGCUGUGAUUACAGGUGUGAGCCACUGUGCCCAGUCAGUAUUUUGUACUUUACGUUUCUCCCCUAAAUACUCUCUGAUCAUCUUUUGAAAAGACAACAAGUUUUGUAAUAUCAUUUUCCACUGAGAGAAUAGAACAAUAAUUCAGCCUUUCCACUAGCGUGGUUGACUAAAAAUUAUUAUUGGUCCAAAGGUAGCAAGUUAUCUCAAUCGAUUCUUCACAGUCAGUUACAGAUCCAACUCCUUCCCCCGUCUUACCACUGCACUUAACUAGUCUUGAAAACACAACAAGAGAAAAAUGGCUGGGCACGGUGGCUCACGCCUGUAAUCCUGGCACUUUGGGAGGCCAAGGUGGGUGGAUCAUUUGAAGCCAAGAGUUCAAGACCAGCUUGACCAACAUGGUGAAACCCUGUCUCUAAUAAAAAUACAAAAAAAUUAGCCAGGCAUGGUGGCACAUGCCUGUAAUCCCAGCUACUUGGGAGGCUGAGGCCGGAGAAUGACUUGAACCCAGGAGGUGGAGGUUGCAGUGAGCCAAGAUCACACCACGGCACUCCAACCUGGGUGACA